rnacentral:rRNA from 1 species
UACGUAGGUGGCAAGCGUUGUCCGGAUUUACUGGGUGUAAAGGGCGCGUAGGCGGGACUGCAAGUCAGAUGUGAAAUCUGGGGGCUUAACCCUCAAACUGCAUUUGAAACUGUAGUUCUUGAGUAUCGGAGAGGCAGGCGGAAUUCCAAGUGUAGCGGUGAAAUGCGUAGAUAUUUGGAGGAACGCCAGUGGCGAAGGCGGCCUGCUGGACGACAACUGACGCUGAGGCGCGAAAGCGUGGGGAGCAAACAGG